GCGGCCGUAGCUCAAAUGGAUAGAGUACCAGUCUACGGAACUGGGUGUUGGGUGUUCGAGUCACCCCGGCCGCACCA
rnacentral:tRNA from 1 species